GCUCGUAUACUCAGGCGAAAAAUGAUGUUUCUUUAGAGUGACCUCAGUUGCAACUUUGAGAUUUACCUUCCGGCUUUUAUAUUUUCUAGCCUCAUCUAAACCUUCCGGCUUUUAUAUUUUCUUGUAAAACAGAUCUUGCAAUUUUUCUUCUGAACAUCAAAUUCAAGUGGCCCUGCAGCCUCUUCGAUCUGUAAUUUAUUAACUUUUAGAUGUUUGAACAUAGCCUUAUGCAUUAUUUUACUGUUUCUUUCCUGAGAAUUUGCUUCUGUUUAUCAGAAUCGCUUCUGUUUUAUAUCGGCAGAAAAGGAAGAUGAAUUUCACUAGUUUUCUGGAAAUGUGUUUCAUUUAGUCUACUCACUUUAUUGAAUAUGCUUUGUGAUAAAUAGAGUACCAUUUACAAUAGUCUAAUGAAUGUAGAAUUACUUCAACCAUGGAAGGAAGCUCCUCUGGAGGGAGGGAGUCAACUUUAACUUUGAUGAUAUGAUGAAGAAGGCACCAAAUGCUAGAAUGGCACAUCCAUGGCCAGACCACUUUUAUCCAUUGCAUGUGGCACUUGGAGCUGCAGGGGAAAGAGCAAAGGCUGAAUUAAUUCUACUAUUUUGUUUUUUUUUUUCUUAUGUUGUAUGUUCUGGGGUCAGGUAUUGGACUGUAACUAUUUGUUUAUUGGCUUCGGGUGUUGUAAUUUGUUUCUAAACAGCCAGUUGCUUAAACUUGUAAUGAUAGUUUCAUUUUCUUAAUUCUGUCUCUUUAUCUCUUGUAACGACA